GAUGAACGCUGGCGGCGUGCUUAACACAUGCAAGUCGAACGGAAAGGCCCAAGCUUGCUUGGGUACUCGAGUGGCGAACGGGUGAGUAACACGUGGGUGAUCUGCCCUGCACUUCGGGAUAAGCCUGGGAAACUGGGUCUAAUACCGGAUAGGACCACUUCUUGGAUGUUGUGGUGGAAAGUUUUUUCGGUGUGGGAUGAGCUCGCGGCCUAUCAGCUUGUUGGUGGGGUAAUGGCCUAACAAGGCGUCGACGGGUAGCCGGCCUGAGAGGGGGUACGGCCACAUUGGGGCUGAGAUACGGCCCAGACCCCGACGGGAGGCAGCAGUGGGGAAUAUUGCACAAUGGGCGCAAGACUGAUGCAGCGAAGCCGGGGGGGGGAUGACGGCCUUCGGGGUGGAAACUCCUUUCGCUAGGGACGAAGCGUUUUGUGACGGUACUUGGAGAAGAAGCACCGGCUAACUACGUG
rnacentral:rRNA from 1 species